rnacentral:rRNA from 1 species
UACGUAGGGGGCAAGCGUUAUCCGGAUUUACUGGGUGUAAAGGGAGCGUAGACGGCUGUGCAAGUCAGAAGUGAAAGCCCGGGGCUCAACUCCGGGACUGCUUUUGAAACUGUGUAACUGGAGUGCAGGAGAGGUAAGCGGAAUUCCUGGUGUAGCGGUGAAAUGCGUAGAUAUCAGGAGGAACACCAGUGGCGAAGGCGGCUUACUGGACUGUAACUGACGUUGAGGCUCGAAAGCGUGGGGAGCAAACAGG